rnacentral:rRNA from 1 species
CACGUAGGGCGCAAGCGUUGUCCGGAAUUAUUGGGCGUAAAGAGCUCGUAGGCGGUCUGUUGCGUCCGCUGUGAAAACUCGGGGCUUAACCCCGAGCCUGCAGUGGAUACGGGCAGACUAGAGGUAGGUAGGGGAGAAUGGAAUUCCCGGUGUAGCGGUGAAAUGCGCAGAUAUCGGGAGGAACACCGGUGGCGAAGGCGGCGUCCUGGACCAACACUGACACUGAUGAGCGAAAGCCAGGGGAGCAAACGGG